rnacentral:rRNA from 1 species
UACGAAGGGUGCAAGCGUUACUCGGAAUUACUGGGCGUAAAGCGUGCGUAGGUGGUGAGUUAAGUCUGUCGUGAAAGCCCCCGGCUCAACUGGGGAGGGUCAUUCGAUACUGUUCGACUCGAAGGCAGGAGAGGGAAGUGGAAUUCCCGGUGUAGUGGUGAAAUGCGUAGAUAUUGGGAAGAACACCGGUGGCGAAGGCGGCCAUCUGGACCGGAACUGACGCUGAGGCGCGAAAGCCAGGGGAGCGAAUGGG